UAGCUUGCUAGUAGGCGACGAGUGGCGGACGGGUGAGUAACGCGUAGGAAUCUACCUAGUAGUGGGGGAUAGCCAAGGGAAACUUUGGGUAAUACCGCAUACGAUCUAAGGAUGAAAGGGGGCCUCUCUUUGAAGCUCUCGCUAUUAGAUGAGCCUGCGUAAGAUUAGCUUGUUGGUGGGGUAAUGGCUCACCAAGGCGACGAUCUUUAACUGGUCUGAGAGGAUGAUCAGUCACACUGGAACUGAGACACGGUCCAGACUCCUACGGGAGGCAGCAGUCGGGAAUAUUGGACAAUGGGGGAAACCCUGAUCCAGCCAUGCCGCGUGUGUGAAGAAGGCUCUAGGGUUGUAAAGCACUUUUAGUAGGGAGGAAGGCUCGAUGGUUAAUACCCAUCGGGAUUGACGUUACCUACAGAAAAAGCACCGGCUAAUUUCGUGCCAGCAGCCGCGGUAAUACGAAAGGUGCAAGCGUUAAUCGGAAUUACUGGGCGUAAAGCGCGCGUAGGCGGCUUAGUAAGUUAGAUGUGAAAGCCCCGGGCUCAACCUGGGAACUGCAUCUAAAACUGCUAGGCUAGAGUAUGGUAGAGGAUGGCGGAAUUUCCUGUGUAGCGGUGAAAUGCGUAGAUAUAGGAAGGAACAUCAGUGGCGAAGGCGGCCAUCUGGACCAAUACUGACGCUGAGGUGCGAAAGCGUGGGGAGC
rnacentral:rRNA from 1 species